rnacentral:rRNA from 1 species
GUGCCAGCAGCCGCGGUAAUACGUAGGGCGCAAGCGUUAUCCGGAAUUAUUGGGCGUAAAGAGCUCGUAGGCGGUUUGUCGCGUCUGCUGUGAAAACCCGAGGCUCAACCUCGGGCCUGCAGUGGGUACGGGCAGACUAGAGUGCGGUAGGGGAGAUUGGAACUCCUGGUGUAGCGGUGGAAUGCGCAGAUAUCAGGAAGAACACCGAUGGCGAAGGCAGAUCUCUGGGCCGUAACUGACGCUGAGGAGCGAAAGGGUGGGGAGCAAACAGGCUUAGAUACCCUGGUAGUCCACCCCGUAAACGUUGGGAACUAGUUGUGGGGUCCAUUCCACGGAUUCCGUGACGCAGCUAACGCAUUAAGUUCCCCGCCUGGGGAGUACGGCCGCAAGGCUAAAACUCAAAGGAAUUGACGGGGACCCGCACAAGCGGCGGAGCAUGCGGGAUUAAUUCGAUGCAACGCGAAGAACCUUACCAAGGCUUGACAUAUAGAGGAAACGUCUGGAAACAGUCGCCCCGCAAGGUCUCUAUACGGGUGGUGCAUGUUGUCGUCAGCUCGUGUCGUGAGAUGUUGGGUUAAGUCCCGCAACGAGCGCAACCCUCGUUCUAUGUUGCCAGCACGUAAUGGUGGGAACUCAUGAGAUACUGCCGGGGUCAACUCGGAGGAAGGUGGGGAUGACGUCAAAUCAUCAUGCCCCUUAUGUCUUGGGCUUCACGCAUGCUACAAUGGCCGGUACAAAGGGCUGCAAUACCGUAAGGUGAGCGAAUCCCAAAAGCCGGUCCCAGUUCGGAUGAGUCUGCAACUCGACCUCAUGAAGUCGGAGUCGCUAGUAUCGCAGAUCAGCACGCUGCGGUGAAUACGUCCCGGGUCUUGCACACACCCGCCCGUCAAGGGCGAAAUUCGGUUAAACCUGGCAGGACUA